rnacentral:tRNA from 2 species
GUCCGGUUAGCUCAGCAGGUUAGAGCAUCUGCCUUACAAGCAGGAGGUCGGCGGUUCGAUUCCGUCACGGGACA